UAACGCGAAGAACCUUACCCGGGCUUGAACUGCAGCGGAACGAUACAGAGAUGUUGAGGUCCUUCGGGACUCCUGUGAAGGUGCUGCAUGGUUGUCGUCAGCUCGUGCCGUGAGGUGUCGGCUUAAGUGCCAUAACGAGCGCAACCCCUGUUCUUAGUUGCCAUCAGAUAAUGCUGGGCACUCUGGGAAUACUGCCACCGUAAGGUGUGAGGAAGGUGGGGAUGACGUCAAAUCAGCACGGCCCUUACGUCCGGGGCUACACACGUGUUACAAUGGCCGGUACAGAGAGUUGGUCGUGCGCAAGUACGGUCUAAUCCAUAAAACCGGUCUCAGUUCGGACUGGGGUCUGCAACCCGACCCCACGAAGCUGGAUUCGCUAGUAAUCGCGCAUCAGCCAUGGCGCGGUGAAUACGUUCCCGGGUCUUGUACACACCGA
rnacentral:rRNA from 1 species